rnacentral:rRNA from 1 species
UGGGGAAUAUUGCACAAUGGGCGCAAGCCUGAUGCAGCCAUGCCGCGUGUAUGAAGAAGGCCUUCGGGUUGUAAAGUACUUUCAGCGGGGAGGAAGGGAGUAAAGUUAAUACCUUUGCUCAUUGACGUUACCCGCAGAAGAAGCACCGGCUAACUCCGUGCCAGCAGCCGCGGUAAUACGGAGGGUGCAAGCGUUAAUCGGAAUUACUGGGCGUAAAGCGCACGCAGGCGGUUUGUUAAGUCAGAUGUGAAAUCCCCGGGCUCAACCUGGGAACUGCAUCUGAUACUGGCCAGCUUGAGUCUCGUAGAGGGGGGUAGAAUUCCAGGUGUAGCGGUGAAAUGCGUAGAGAUCUGGAGGAAUACCGGUGGCGAAGGCGGCCCCCUGGACGAAGACUGACGCUCAGGUGCGAAAGCGUGGGGAGCAAACA